rnacentral:rRNA from 1 species
AACGAACGCUGGCGGCAGGCUUAACACAUGCAAGUCGAACGCCCCGCAAGGGGAGUGGCAGACGGGUGAGUAACACGUGGGAACAUGCCCAAAGGUACGGAAUAUUCUCGGGAAACUGGGAGCAAUACCGUAUGUGCCCGAAAGGGGAAAGAUUUAUCGCCUUUGGAUUGGCCCGCGUUGGAUUAGCUAGUUGGUGGGGUAAAAGUCUACCACGGCGACGAUCCAUAGCUGGUCUGAGAGGACGACCAGCCACACUGGGACUGAGACACGGCCCAUACUCCUACUGGAGUCAGCAGUGGGGAAUCUUAGAAAAUGGGGGAAACCCUGAUCUAGCCAUGCCGCGUGAUCGAUUAAGGCCUUAGGGUUGUAAAGAUCUUUCAGGUGGAAAGAUAAUGACUGUACCACCAGAAGAAGCCCCGGCUAACUCCGUGCCAGCCGCCGCCGUAA